ACGUAGGGGGCAAGCGUUAUCCGGAAUUACUGGGCGUAAAGAGUGCGUAGGUGGCCACUCAAGCGCAGGGUUUAAGGCAACGGCCUAACCGUUGUCAGCCUUGCGAACUGGGUGGCUUGAGUACAGGAGAGGAAGGCGGAAUUCCUAGUGUAGCGGUGAAAUGCGUAGAUAUUAGGAGGAACACCGGUGGCGAAGGCGGCCUUCUGGACUGUCACUGACACUGAGGCACGAAAGCGUGGGUAGCAAACAG
rnacentral:rRNA from 1 species